rnacentral:rRNA from 1 species
AUGUUCCGAGUCCCCUUUACCCGAGAUAACAAUGCAGUGGCUCAACUUAUCAGGAGUUGCUUCACAUCUUUUCUUGGGCCGCUGGUUAAUGGACGAUCUUGCUUUGUAGCGAACAGAGGAGUCAUUAAUUUGAUGGGGCAGUCUCCCGGUCAAAGCGGUUGCCGGCUUUCUAUAUCACCUGGAUGUCUUUACAUGCGGUCUUGUGGGAUGUUUCUCGACAAUAAUUUUGUAUGUGAAGAGAUCUUCAAGGUUGUCAUUGAGAGAGCCCAUGCAUUAGCAAAUGAAUGUGGUUGUGAUAUCAAUGGACCUUCUUAUCUGAUGUCAGGCCGGAUGUCAAUAUCUUGUGCAUUAUCCUCCGUAGAGCAAAUAGCAUCACUUGCAGCAACUAUGCUUUGUCAUGCUGGUGGGGUGAAGUUGAUCCAUCUCAUGUACGAUCAGAUUGUACCAACUUUGCUUCUUUCACCCGGAGAUAGGAAACGGGGUUCUGCCGGAUCGUUGUGCAGCAUAUUCGAAGGAUUUGCUUUGGCGUUUGUUCUCCUCUUGUCUGGGGCCAGCAUUUGGGGAAUUGGAGAAAACCCCCCAGUUUACACUUCGGUACACCCAUCAAAGAGGCAACGGAUUGUAGGCAUGCACUUGGAGUUCAUAUCCAUGGUAAUGGAGGGCAACAUGGAUCUUGGUUGUGGUCAGGCAACAUGGAGGGCAUAUGUUCUCUGUUUUGUGGGUUUGCUUGUCGACUUUGUGCCAGCGUGGAUCCCUCAGGUGCCGCUCAAGACGCUGCAGAAAUUGGCCUCGGGGCUUAAGAAAUGGCAUGAGCAUGAUCUUGCGCACUCUCUGCUGGAGCGAGGAGGGCCGGAGGCCAUAAGUAUAGUGGUUGAGCACAUGCUAUGA